rnacentral:rRNA from 1 species
AUUGAACGCUGGCGGCAUGCUUUACACAUGCAAGUCGAACGGCAGCGCGGGCUUCGGCCUGGCGGCGAGUGGCGAACGGGUGAGUAAUACAUCGGAACGUGCCCGGUAGUGGGGGAUAGCUCGGCGAAAGCCGGAUUAAUACCGCAUACGACCUGAGGGUGAAAGCGGGGGAUCUUCGGACCUCGCGCUAUUGGAGCGGCCGAUGGCAGAUUAGCUAGUUGGUGGGGUAAAGGCCUACCAAGGCGACGAUCUGUAGCUGGUCUGAGAGGACGACCAGCCACACUGGGACUGAGACACGGCCCAGACUCCUAAGGGAGGCAGCAGUGGGGAAUUUUGGACAAUGGGCGAAAGCCUGAUCCAGCAAUGCCGCGUGUGUGAUGAAGGCCUUCGGGUUGUAAAGCACUUUUGGCGGGAACGAAAAGGACUGUGCCAAUACCACGGUUCGAUGACGGUACCCGCAGAAUAAGCACCGGCUAACUACGUG